rnacentral:lncRNA from 1 species
GCUCGUGGAACGCCUUCACCGCCGCCAGAGUUCGCCGGAGUACCUGCUCCGGGACGCCGUGGUUGAUCACCUGGAAGAACCCCACCGUGCUGGCCGCCUGUCGAAUCUGCUCCACCACGGCGGCGCGCGACCCCUGCACGGCGGCCAGGUCUACCGUGGGAAUCUCCGGCGCUGAUUCGGAUUCGGACCCGCGCUUCAGCUCCGCUAAGGUUUCGGGCGGGUGAACGAAGAUAGGGGGGAUAGCCUUGAUUCCCGAAUCGACCAAACCUUUGACUCCGACCUUGGUUUCGUCGAAUUCCUUCACCGCUUUCGCGCGGUCGUAUGGCGGGGCGGCGCUGAGCGCGGUGGCCACCGGCGAUGACAUUGGGAAGAAGCGAGAAUAGGAAUCGUUGUUUGUGUGUAGAAAGUUCAAAUUCAGUGUAAAGUGAAUUGAAAACUAUAAAGUGCAGUUUUCUGAUGCGGUUCAACAAAUAAAUAACAAAAAUAGAUUAGUCAAGAAACUUCACUAGUUCUGGUCUUUUUUUUAUUCCAAUUAUAUUUCUUUAUUUACACGACUCAAAAUUAAAAUAUGAAAUAACAAAUUAUAUUUAAUUAAAAUGAUAAACUAUUAUUGGUUACCUAACACUACAAAAAUAUAAAUUUUGUCUUAUAUGAUAUUUUUGGAGUGUUGAAUUUUUUAUAAGGUGAAAAAAAAAUACCAAUAGAAAAAGAUUAUAAUAGAUUUUUUUUUAAAUGGGUUGAAAUUAAGGGAAAGAUUGUGUUUUUUUUUUCUUUUUUUUAAAUGGUUUUUUAAAUGGUUUUUGCGCUCUUAUUUAUAUAAACAUAACGAAUUUAGUCGGUUAGUGAUGAGACUUCCAAGUGUUCCAUAAAUUCGAUAUAAAAUUUAUAUAAAUUUAAGUUAAAAAAUACUCUUAUACGUAUAUAUUAUGAAACUUCUCAAACUAAAAAUAUUAUUAAUAGAGUUUAGUAUUGAACAAUUUAACUAUAUCGUUUAACUAAUAAGUUUAUUUUUUUUUACUUGAGUUUAGUAUUGAACAAUUUAACUAUAUCGUUUAACUAAUAAGUUGAUUUUUUUUCACUUGAGGUUGAAAACCUUAUAAAUACAAGUAUUUAACAAAGAAAACAUAAUAUCUUAAUAGAAAAUGAAAUUGUAGUUAUGUAACGUAAGUGAUAAGAAUAUUUGAAUUUAACCAUUCAAAGAUAUUGACUUCUGAUAUCAACUUUAGAAAAUCAGAUUUAUUAAAUUUAUUGUACUUAAAUCUAUUAAAAUAUAAUUUCAUAAUUUGUUUACAUAUAAUUAUUUAUAAUAUAACAUUUUCAUAUUUUUAAUAUGAAUUAAUUAAAUGUUUCAAUUUUUUUGUAUUUUUAAACUUUAACUUUUAAAUUUUUAUUUAAAUUUUAAUCAAUAUUAUAAUUAUUAAAUAAAAUAAGAUAUGUGAGUCCACUUUCUUGGAAACUAUGGAAAACAGAGGCAUGCUUAUAUGUUUAUCUUCUUUUAUGAAAAUAAAAGAUAAUUAAUAUAAUUAUUAUUAUUAUUAUAAUGAAAAGUAAUUGUCCUAAAAAAGUUAGAUAAUGAAUAUAAAAACAGAAAGAAUAAAUUAAUAAAAAAAAGUGUAUAAAAAACAGUCAUGGAAAUUAAUUCAACUUAGUAGUGGUUAUAAAUAAAGUAAUAUAUCUAUUUAAAACUUGAAAAGAAAAGUGUAAUUUUCGAUUUUCUCAUUUGUUAACUUUCGUGGUAAUGGUCUUAAAAACUAUGUUUUUUUUUUUUAAUGAAAAUUUUCAUGUUAGGCAUCCCUAUGCAACUUGACAUCUCAGCUAGGCUGACAUCUCAAGUAACAACAAUCAUCUGCCAUCACAUGAAAAAAGUAUUAUUAAAAAAAAGGAAAAAAAAGAAAAUACAAAAAUAUGGGGGGACUAGACCAAAACCCACAUGUUAACAAAAACGAUACAUAGGUAGACUAUACCUAUUCAUAAAGAAUUCUAAGAACAGACUAGAUGGAAGUCUAUUAUACCAAUGAAAUGAUUGUCUAUGAAUGAACCCUAAAUUAGCCAACUUAUCAGCACAUGCAUUUCCCUCACGAAAAAUACGAGUAACCCUAAACCUGAUUGUCCUACAGAAAUUAAGACAAGUAUUCCAUCGAUUACGAAGCAUCCACGGAACAGUAGUCCUAGCAGUAAACGCAGCACAAACCAAGACAGAAUCACAUUCAAGCCAAACAUUAGUAAGUCCCAUCUUCUGAGCUUCCUCCAUAGCAUGUAUAACUCCAUAAAACUCAGCAACCAAAGCAGUUUGAAUUUCAAGAAACCCUGAAAAAGCACCAAUAAAUUCUCCCAUACUCCCACGGAAAAUACCUCCACAAGUAGCAAGUCCAGGAUACCCCUAGCAGCCCCAUCAGUGUUAAUUUUAACCCAGCCUGGUGAAGGAAAUUCCCAUCUAACUGAAAGAGGAUGAAGAACUUUCCCACUACGAGUCUUAAUACCAAUAAUAUUAUUAUUUUAUUUGGAGUUAGGAUUUGAAAUUCUUAAAAACUAUGUUUUAUUAACUAACAGUGUAAUAAAAUUUAUAUUCAUAAUUUGGAGGAACAAUAUCAAAUACCAACCAUGUCAUACAAAUUAAACAACAGGCUAAAUAAAUACAAAAACAAAAUAGUUUAAAUACUCAUGAAAACAAAAAAUUUAAAGAACAUUUUAAUUAAAAAUAUACAAAUUUAUAAAGUAGUAAAACCUCAGUUAAACUUAUAUUAUAUUACGAAAUUAAGAUUAGAAAAUAAGAAAUAAGGAUCAAAUUCUUUAAAACGUUAAAAAAUAAUAAAUAAAAAAAAUAAAGAAAUGGUGAAAGAAAAGAUCACGCAACUAUUGUUUUGCAUUGACGUGGCAGGCUUUGAGCCAAAAGUUGAAACCGGAAGUUCCCACACGCUACGCUGGAGUGAGGUCUCAUCUUUCGCUGGAAACAAUGACAGCUUACGUAUUCCACCUAUCAUAAAAUGUUACACAAUGGCAUUUUUUAAUAAAUAUAAAUUUUAAAAUAUAACUGAUAUAAUAAGUAUAUGUUAUAUUUGUUUUCUAUGUGUGGAUGUGGGAACCUAAGUAAUGUUUAUUCACUUGAUAUACAAUUUGCUGUUGUGUCGGUAGUUUCUGAAUUUUUUAAAGUUGUUCUUCUCCUACGUGUGUGCUCCGUUGGUCGGUGGAUGGGUAUCUGCGAUUGCACUUCGUCGUUCAAGUCAGUGCUAGUGAUUAGUUUGUUAUCUUAGGAUAUGAAAAACGUACAUUUUCCCUCUUCAGAAGUCUUAUUUAUAGGUUGACCUGGACCUCCUUCGUGUGGGUCAGAUAAUCAGUUUAUUAAGACGUGUGUAGGUCGUGUGUAGUGACUUCUUAAAAUCAUGAGAGUGUAUUCGAAGUACAACUCAUUCAACGCAAACUAUAUAACAGUUUUCUUGCCACGUAUGUUAUAUUAUUAAUUCAUGUAUUGGAUCGGACUCGUACAUGUUUAUUAUAAAAUCGUUAUAGAAACUUAUUCACUAUAUCAUCUGAAGUUUUAACUGACAUAGGUACUUCUCUCAUGUGAGUUUUACACACUUAGUUUCACUAAUAUUUUAUGUGAUUCACUAAAAUGGAGGUAUUGGUGGCGCAAAAGACGAAGCAGCGAGGGUUUGCGUUAGCAUCUGUUUCUGAGGUUUCCAAGUUUCUUCUUUUUUUUUUUAAUCUGUGGUGUGGCACAUCAUUGGUUUGACUGAUGCAUGCUAGUUUUAUAUCUUUGUGUUUACUUUUCUUAUAAAGUGGUGUUUUGCAAGUGAUGUUAAAUACGAUUUUUUUUAUUAACAUCAAUUAGAAUUAUUUUGAAUAGAUCUUAGUUAGGAUUGAUGUAGUUGAUGUGGAUGUAAUUUAUGAUUAUUUUUUUUACUAAUGUCAAUUAUAGCUAAUAUUAAAAUGACUAUCAAUGAAAAUAAGAUUUUUUAUAGUCAAUGUAAGUCAAGAUUUUUAGCUUUAUUGACAAGGAUUAGUUUCAAAUUAAUAUUAUUAAAAUGAUUUAUCAUCAAAUCAAGUUAUAACUAUUUAUCCAUAGAUGUUUGAUGUUAGUGGGGUUUUAUUUAGAUGUUAGCCAAAAAACUUCUAUUGGAAUUUUUAGUAGCUACUUUUCAUAUUUUAUGAACAAUAUUUCCAAUAUUAUUUGAUGAUAAUUUUUGUAUUUAAUAUUUUUUAUUUAGUAAUAAUUAAAAUACUCAAUUCAAAAAAAUAAUAAACUAGAAUUUUCUUGUUCAAACAAAAUAUUUGAAUAUUAAAAAUUAAAAAUAAAAGUAAGUGAAAUGGAAUAUAUUUAAACUUUUUAAAAAUAUAGAAUUUCCUAUUUGGGUGAUAGAAUUUUGACCAUAGAAUAAAAGAAUGUAUUAACAAGGGAAGAAGGGGUUGGUGAAGGCAUGGAAAGGUUAGAGUAUAUUCAACUUUGUGAUUAUGACUUUUAAUCAAUUUUAUUCAAUCAAUGCUACAUACAUUAUUGAAUAUUUGAGGUGCCAUGACUUUUGAACUGUUUCUUCUGGUACCUUCAUAGCUUCUUCCUACCUUCAAUUACAUAUUUUUUUAAAUAUCAAAAAUAUUUUUUAUUCUAUUGAAGUUUUUUACUUUAAAUUAUAAAAUUUAUGAGAUAUUUCCAAAUCCAAACACCUUUCAAAUUUUAUAAACCAAAAUAUAUUUUUUCCAAAAAAAUACAUUUCAGAUUAUAAAAACCAAAAUGUGUUUUUUCUAAAAUAAAUACAUUUUAAAUUGUAGAAUUUGAAAAAUAUUUUGUACUCUACAGAGUCCAUAGAAUCAUAAUGUGUAAAUUAAAAAAAAAUACAUUAUAGAUUUUAAAAAGGUAUUUUGAAUCUAAAAAUGAAAAAUAUUUCAAAUUCUAUAAUUUAAAAUAUAUUUUUUUAGAAAAAUAUUUCACAUUGCAAAACUGGAAAUUUUACAACCCAAAAUAUGUAAAUAGAAAAAACUGCAAUCCAAAAGGAGAGAGUUAUAAAAAAGAGAAAGUUAUAAAGAUGUUUUAUAUUUGACCACCAGUCCCAAAAAAAUUAAAUUUCUCACUCGAAAUGACAUUUAUAGUCUCUUAUUAAUUGAAAAUUAAUUAAUUUUAAUUUAGAAAAAUGUUCACCAACAAAUAUUUAUAGAAAACUUUGUCUACAAAUUUCCAGAUGUAUAGAGAUUCGUCAUUUUCAAGUACUUUUUUAAGUAUCUCAAUGUUCACUCUUACCCAAGAUAUGUAAAAAAAGUUACAAUAUCUUUUAAAUGACUCUUACCCAAAAUAUGUAAAAGAAGUUACAAUAUCUCCUAAAGUAUAUCAGAAAAUAGUUACAACCACAUCAUUGUUUUUUCUAGAACCCUCUGAAACAUUCUAACAUUUUCCGAAAUAUUAAAACAUUCUACAACAUCAUUAAAGUUUAUAAUUUAUACAUUAAAUAAUUUUAAUCUAUAGAAAAGCACUUUCUUGUCUUGUAAAAGUGCUAAAAAAAGUUACAUAAAUUAGCAAGUUUGUUGCCAACACUGAAGCAUAUACACUUGGCUUGCAACAUGCAACAGGAUUACAAUAGCCAUUAGAAUUCCUUACCUAUCUUAAGAGAAGUAUGAACAAGAUGACAACAUUUAGUUAGAAAUCCAAGUACCAAUUUCAGUCCAUAAGUAAGAAUGAAAAGUUAGACAUCAUAUAAAAAGAACCCAUAAAUUCAUUUGAGUUGGAAAAUGUCUUAUAUGAGUUACUAAAACUAGAGCAUAUCAUGAAAUGGGGGAGGAACAAUUAUUGCUUCAAUUCAUCAACCACCUAAUUAGCAUAAAAUAUCAUCAUAUCACAUCAACCUUUUUAAAUAAGUACUUAAAAUAUUUUUAACAUAGAAUAUACAACCAGAAAUUAAUAGGUGUGCUAAGUGUGUGUUCAUCAUUGUCUGAAGAAAUUUGUGAGUGAUUUACCAUCCAACUCUUUCUUGGAGAACCUGAUCAUAAAUUCAUGGAGAGUGAAGUUCCUGUAAAGGGCUGGUUUCUUUGUUGAUGUUAGCUCUGGCAAUGGUCCAAAAAGUCUCUCUCUGUCACUUGGGUUGAGGAAAACAGCAAUUGAGACUCUAGCCUCAUUACAAUGAUUGGCUAACACUCGGUGAUGAGCACUCUUAUAUGUCUCGUUAGAAAUUAUCUGACACACAAAAUGAUGAAUGGGAGAGAUCAAAACAAGGAAUGUCAUACAAUAAUUCCUGCAUAUAUAACCUUGUAAACCUUCAAAUUUAACCAAAAUUAUUCUUGCAGUUAUAAAUGGUUCUAAUAAUAUGUUCACAAAAUUAUAAAAGUCAAGUUGAUGCUAAGUUAACAAGAUCAUUUCAUGACCUUGCUUCAAAAUCUAAAUUCUAAUUACUUUAUUUCCCUUUGUCUGUCAAAUGCAUACUCUUCAAAAUUAAAACCACUAAUAAUCUAUUAUUUUUAUUCUCAAAAAUAUUACACCCAGUCUUAAAAUACCAUUUGUUUCGAUUUUAAAUCUACUGAGACAUUGCUAGAUCAAACUCCAUUCGAAACAUUGUCUGCUCCAUCUGAGGUAUUGUCCGCUUUGAAAUUCGAUACUCCUUCAUGAUUUUGUCCUUAAAAAGGUGUCUCAAUGGGUUAAGAAAGAAAAGUGUGUUUAAAGUGUCAUUGACUUCAAUACUUAAAUGAUGUGAGAAUGAUCCUCGAGGACUAAGGGAACGAGGUCGAGGAUGUGUCUUUGGAACCUCAAAUAUAAUGAUUGAUCCUAACGAUAUUAUCCCCCUUCACAACUAAGGAACUCAAAUGUGUGUCUGAAACCUCAAAUAGAGUGAUCUUUGACGAUUUUAAAAUAAAUACUUUAGAUAAAUAAUCUUGGAAGGAUUAAAAAUAAUGUGAUUCCCAAAUUUUAAGAUGUUUCAAAUUAUUAUUGACCCACAUGAAACAUCCAUCAUCAUCAUCAUAAGCACAAGCACAAGAAUUAAGUGACACAAGGCUUUAAUUAAUUAAACUAUUAUUAUUAUAUAUUAAUUAAAUAAAAUUAAAUAUGAAACCUGAAGGAAAUCUCCAAUGUUAAUAACCAAAGCUUGAGGCUGAGGCUUGACAUGGAUCCAACCCUGUGGGGUCUCAACCUGCAAGCCCCCAAUAUGGUCCUGCAGCAACACCGUAAGAGCCCCUGGAUCAGCAUGCGAAUUAAGACCCACCGUUAGAUCAGGCUGAGGGCAAAACGGGUAAUAAUGUCCCACCAUAACUCUUCCUUCACCCAAACCCAUCUCCCUGAACCUCUCCGCACCCAAUCCCAGCCCCUCACUCAGCAACUCAUACAACACACGUGACACACGCACCACCUCCUUAUCCCACUCCACCACCUCUUCUCUGCACACCUCGGGAAUCUCGCUGUGAUCAACGGCUAUGGGCCCCAUUCUCAUCUGCAAAAUAAAAAUAAAAACUCAUUUAUUUUAUCAUUUCAUACAAUUUAUUUAUUUUCAAUGCCGAUUAAUUUUAAAUGUUUUCCAAAAAAUAUUAUAUUAUGUAAAAAAUAAAUAUUUUGUGUGCCUUUUUAGACAGAAAGUUUAAAUAAUAAACUUUCGAGGCUUGUAAAAAGGUUAAAUUUUACUUUUGGUUCUUAUUUUAUUUAUUAAAAGUGAUUUCGGUCACACAAUAUUUGUUGUGACAUUAUUAAAAAGUUUGUAACUUUAAUUCAAUUAUUAUCAAUUUUUUAAAAAUUGCAAGUUUUAAAUAUAUGAAGAUUAAAUAAAAAAAAAGGUGUUUAUUAAAAAAUAAAUUGUAAUUUAGCCUAUAAAAAAUUGCAUGAAUCUAAAAUUGUGUUUCAUAAACUAUAAUUUAAUUUCUCUUGUUUCAGAAAUUAAUUAUUUAAAUAUAAAUUAUUAAUUAAAUAUACAUUUAAUCUUCCCUCAACAUGAUUUAUUUUAUGAAUAAAAGAACAUAAUUAAAAUUUCAACCAAGUGGUCCAAAAAACACGAGCCUAAUACUUGUGCCAACCGAUUUAAAUUAAUUUUAAUUACAAAUUUUGCAUUAAUGAAUACCAAUAUAUUGCUAACUAUUAAAAAAUAAUUUUGAUAAAUAUUUAAGAUAAUUAUUACUAAAUAUCGUAGACUUAUUAUUUACGGUGAAUUAUGAUCAGAAGGCUUUUCCCGUUUAGACGCGAUGGUAAGAGUCAUCCAGAAAUUAAAAUUCUUGAUAUUUCAGUUUUUGUAGUAAUUAAAAAUAUUAAUCUUACACAAAUCUUUAAUUCACUUUAAAUUUACAAAAAUAGAAAAAUCUCUUUAAUAUUAAUUUAUUGUAUAUUAAUAUUAAUUUUUUAAUAGCAUAUGAUACCAAAGAUCAAGUAUUAGUUACCUGAAUUGUGUCACGCCAGCUGGCAGCUUUUGAUUGGAAGAGAUCCACGUUGGAAAGGUAUGAUACCUUCCCCACCUCCCUACGAUACACCGGCACCCUGGCCUCCGCCGGCUGCUCGUGGAACGCCUUCACCGCCGCCAGAGUUCGCCGGAGUACCUGCUCCGGGACACCGUGGUUGAUCACCUGGAAGAACCCCACCGUGCUCGCCGCCUGCCGAACCUGCUCCACCACGGCGGCGCGCGACUCCUGCAUGGCGGCCAGGUCCACCGUGGGAAUCUCCGGCGCUGAUUCGGAUUCGGACCCGCGCUUUAGCUCCGCUAAGGUUUCGGGCGGGUGAACGAAGAUAGGGGGGACAGCCUUGAUUCCCGAAUCGACCAAACCUUUGACUCCGACCCUGGUUUCGUCGAACUCCUUCAGCGCUUUCGCGCGGUCGUACGGCGCGGCGGCGCUGACCGCGGUGGCCACCGGCGAUGACAUUGGGAAGAAGCGAGAAUAGGAAUCGUUGUUUGGGUGUAGAAAGUUCAAAUUCA